UGGCCCCUAGAGGACUAUGGAAGAGCUGAUUCUAAAAGUCAGUGGGGAAGGGCACCUCUGCAGAGCAUGUGACUCUUGAUCUGGGAUUAUGAGUUCAAGCCCCACAUUGGGCAUAGAGCUUACUUUAAAAAAUAAAUAAAAUAAAAUAAAAUUAGGGCAGCCCGGGUGGCUCAGCGGUUUAGCGCCACCUGCAGCCCAGGGAUCCAGUCGAACGUCAGGCUUCCUGCAUGGAGCCUGUUUCUCCCUCUGCCUGUGUCUCUCAUGAAUAACGAAAUAAAUAUCUUAAAAAAAAAUAAAUUGAAAAAAUUAAGAGUUAAAAAGAAAGUCAGUGGGAAAAGAGAGAAGAGAUUCCAAGCAAAUGGAGGAACAUGCUUGAUUGAGGGUGAUCAGAAGAACUUGGUGAUUGAAGAUGAACAGGUAUUGUGUGGUCAGUGUGCAUUCAUUUAUUCAUUCCGUAAGUGACUCUGGGUAUACAAAACUUAGCAAGCCAGUGUGGAAAAUAAAAAUCUUGAUGAAGUGUUUUUCAAACUUCCAUCUAAUGUAUUGUAUUAAUGAUUGGACCCACUGCCAAAGACCUACGACUCCAUGGUGUCUCUAUUCUUCUGAACCCCACAAGAGAUCUUGGCUCUCAGAAGGGAAACUCCUUACCCAAACAACAGGAAGCAUGGUUGAAUUAAUCUUUGGUAUUUCCUGCCAAAGCAGGAAAAGAGACUCUAUGGUCUCUUGCAGACUUUCCAGAAAGGGUUAAUUGCACUGAAAUCGGUGCCUCAGGGCCAUAUCUAUUUUGCCAGCCACCUAUAUGACAGCUUUUGAUUCUGAGUUCUUCUUUCUCCUGAAGGAAUAAUGGUACAUGAAAGUAAUUUCUAUCAGCAGUUUCAAUUUUGUAUAACUUGUCCAUAUGUAACAACGAACACCUCCUUCUGCAUUACCCUGUGGAGGGCCAAUUCAGGAAAGCAUUAAAGCACUGGUCUGGCAGCACUACCCAAUAAUCCCUGAAAGACCAAAGAACCUGAAGUUAAAGGGACUUUUUUAAGAUCCGUAUUCUUUAGUGUCUUACUUUGUGCUACAUAAUUUAUUACUUGCUUCAGUUCAGGAAGAAGAGCCAUGAUAUGAAUUACAUACACUUCCCAAGGAUGCCACUUUCUGUUUUUAUUCCUAUUACCUUUCACAGUCCUGGGCAUGUCAUAUGUGCCCAAUUAAACCUAAGUUAAAACUGUAAACCUUAUUCAAGAACUUUGAGGCAAAGUUAGUAGAAAACAAUAAAGGCAACUUAGGAAGUGGUUGAAUGAUGAAAAUAGUCCUGUGUUGAAACGCAACCAGGUGUAUGUUAUCGGACUUCUGUGUGGCCUGCUAGGUCCAGAAUGAAAAUUUUCUCGGUACACAGGAGUUAUGGUGGCUGGAUAACAGUUACACGAAAUUUAUUUCAUUUAAGUAUACAAGAACAAUUGUGUGUGUGUGUGUGUGUGUGUGUACUAACAUUAGCUCCUUUGCCUAAUGUAAAAAUCCUUUACAUGACUUAAAACAUUACAAAUAUCACAACGGAAUAAAAUUCCAGACCUCCAAAGCAGAUAGUAUUAGGUUUAAAAAUAGAAAAAUUGGCCAAGGAAUGAAAAAUAAAUAUAUAUUUUUUAAAUUUUUAAAAAUUAUUUAUUUAUGAUAGUCAUACAGAGAGAGAGAGAGGCAGAGACAAGGCAGAGACAUAGGCAGAGGGAGAAGCAGGCUCCAUGCACCGGGAGCCCAACGUGGGACUCGAUCCCCGGUCUCCAGGAUCGCACCCUGGGCCAAAGGCAGGCGCCAAACCGCUGCGCCACCCAGGGAUCCCGGAAUGAAAAAUAUUAAUAGAAAUAGACUGAAGACCAUAGGGCUUUCAGCGCAUGACUUCCUAAGUGUAAUAAACAAUGGUGAAAGAACUAUUUAUAAAAUGUAGUUGAAAAAGAAUAUUAAAACUGAGAAAAAUAAACUUGGAUUAAGUUCUUAUAGUAUAAACCACAAUAAAUUGCAGGUGAGUUCCAGUUAAGCAUAAAGCAUAAUGAGUUGAAUGAAAUAGAAUUGUAUAAGUAUCUUAACUGGAAAGAAGAGUAUUUGUUUUAACAAAUUGUUUAGCAAUCCAAUCAUGAAAUGGGCAAAGGACAUGAAGAGAAAUCUCACAGAGGAAGACAUAGACAUGGCCAACAUGCACAUGAGAAAAUGCUCUGCAUCACUUGCCAUCAGGGAAAUACAAAUCAAAACCACAAUGAGAUACCACCUCACACCAGUGAGAAUGGGGAAAAUUAACAAGGCAGGAAACAACAAAUGUUGGAGAGGAUGCGGAGAAAAGGGAACCCUCUUACACUGUUGGUGGGAAUGUGAA